rnacentral:rRNA from 1 species
ACUGCUCAGUAACACGUGGAUAACCUACCCUCAGGACGGGGAUAAACCCGGGAAACUGGGUAUAAUACCCGAUAGAUCUCGGAGGCUGGAAUGCAUCGAGAUCUAAAGCUCCGGCGCCCGAGGAUGGAUCUGCGGCCUAUCAGGUAGUAGUGGGUGUAGCGUACCUACUAGCCUACGACGGGUACGGGUUGUGAGAGCAAGAGCCCGGAGAUGGAUUCUGAGACACGAAUCCAGGCCCUACGGGGUGCAGCAGGCGCGAAAACUUUACAAUGCCGGCAACGGCGAUAAGGGGACCUCGAGUGCCAGGUUACAAAUCUGGCUGUCGAGAUGCCUAAAAAGCAUUUCAUAGCAAGGGCCGGGCAAGACCGGUGCCAGCCGCCGCGGUAACACCGGCGGCUCGAGUGGUAACCGUUAUUAUUGGGUCUAAAGGGUCUGUAGCCGGCCGGAUAAGUCUCUUGGGAAAUCUGGCAGCUUAUCUGUCAGGCUUUCAGGAGAUACUGUUCGGCUCGAGGCCGGGAGAGGUGAGAGGUACUUCAGGGGUAGGGGUGAAAUCUUGUAAUCCUUGAAGGACCACCAGUGGCGAAGGCGUCUCACCAGAACGGACCUGACGGCAAGGGACGAAAGCUAGGGGCACGAACCGGAUUAGAUACCCGGGUAGUCCUAGCCGUAAACGAUACUCGCUAGGUGUCGGCCACGGUGCGACCGUUGUCGGUGCCGUAGGGAAGCCGUGAAGCGAGCCACCUGGGAAGUACGGCCACAAGGCUGAAACUUAAAGGAAUUGGCGGGGGAGCAC